GUCGAGCGAGUCUGCCUUGAAGAUCGGAGUGCUUGCACUCUGUGAAACAAGAUACAGGCUAGCGGCGGACGGGUGAGUAACACGUGGGUAACCUGCCCAAGAGAUCGGGAUAACACCUGGAAACAGAUGCUAAUACCGGAUAAUAACAGAUGAUGCCUAUCAACUGUUUUAAAAAGAUGGUUCUGCUAUCACUCUUGGAUGGACCUGCGGUGCAUUAGCUAGUUGGUAGGGGUAACGGCCUACCAAGGCGAUGAUGCAUAGCCCGAGUUGAGAGACUGAUCGGGCCACAUUGGGGACUGAGACACGGGGCCCAAAACUCCUACGGGGGGAGGGGCAGCAGGUAGGGGGAAUCUUCCACAAUGGACGCAAGCCUGAUGGAGCAACGCCGCGUGAGUGAAGUAAGGGUUUCGGCUCGUAAAGCUCUGUUGUUGGUGAAGAAGGACGAGGGGUAGUAACUGACCUUUGUUUGACGGUAAUCAAUUAGAAAGUCACGGCUAACUACGUGCCAGCAGCCGCGGUAAU
rnacentral:rRNA from 1 species